UACGUAGGGACCAAGCGUUGUCCGGAUUUACUGGGCGUAAAGAGCGCGCAGGCGGUCGAUUUAGUCGCGUGUGAAAGCCCCCGGCUCAACUGGGGAGGGUCACGCGAUACUGAUCGACUCGAAGGCAGGAGAGGGUAGUGGAAUUCCCGGUGUAGUGGUGAAAUGCGUAGAUAUCGGGAGGAACACCAGUGGCGAAGGCGACUACCUGGCCUGUUCUUGACGCUGAGGCGCGAAAGCUAGGGGAGCAAACGGG
rnacentral:rRNA from 1 species